UUUUCAGCCUAUACCCAGUGAUGGUAAGUCCUGUGCUUUGUGUCUGCUGGACUCGUUGUAGCGGAACUGCAAUGUUAAAUCCCAAUAUCUCCGCUAGUACAGAAAGUAAUUCAAGUAAAGCGCUGAAAAUGAAGGCAAUAUCCCAAAUCCCCCAGUAACCGGACGAAACACAGUUCUGGGAGUCAACUGACGAUUUUAUUCACAAGCUCCAGUAUUUAUGUGAUUCCCCAUGCAAGGGGUUUC